rnacentral:rRNA from 1 species
AUAUGGUAGGAGAGCGUUCUGUAGGCCUGCGAAGGUGUUCCGUAAGGAAUGCUGGAGGUAUCAGAAGUGCGAAUGCUGACAUGAGUAGCGAUAAAGCGGGUGAAAGGCCCGCUCGCCGAAAGCCCAAGGUUUCCUGCGCAACGUUCAUCGGCGCAGGGUGAGUCGGCCCCUAAGGCGAGGCUGAAAAGCGUAGUCGAUGGGAAACAGGUUAAUAUUCCUGUACCUCUUUGUAAUGCGAUGGGGGGACGGAGAAGGUUAGGUCAGCCGGGUGUUGGACGUCCCGGUUUAAGCGUGUAGUCGUGCCUGGUAGGCAAAUCCGCCGGGCUUAGAUGAGGCGUGACGACGAGUGGUCUUUGACCGCGAAGUGAUUGAUACCAUGCUUCCAAGAAAAGCCUCUAAGCUUCAGUUACAAAGAGACCGUACCGCAAACCGACACAGGUGGGCAGGAUGAGAAUUCUAAGGCGCUUGAGAGAACUCAGGAGAAGGAACUCGGCAAAUUAGCACCGUAACUUCGGGAGAAGGUGCGCCCUGGUAGGUUGUAGCCCCUCGCGGGCGAAGGCCGAUAGGGUUGCAGUGAAAUGGUGGCUGCGACUGUUUAAUAAAAACACAGCACUCUGCAAACACGAAAGUGGACGUAUAGGGUGUGACGCCUGCCCGGUGCUGGAAGAUUAAAUGAUGGGGUGCAAGCUCUUGAUUGAAGUCCCAGUAAACGGCGGCCGUAACUAUAACGGUCCUAAGGUAGCGAAAUUCCUUGUCGGGUAAGUUCCGACCUGCACGAAUGGCGUAACGAUGGCCACACUGUCUCCUCCUGAGACUCAGCGAAGUUGAAAUGUUUGUGAAGAUGCAAUCUCCCCGCGGCAAGACGGAAAGACCCCAUGAACCUUUACUGUAGCUUUGCAUUGGACUUUGAACCGAUCUGUGUAGGAUAGGUGGGAGGCUAUGAAACCGGGACGCUAGUUUCGGUGGAGCCAUCCUUGAAAUACCACCCUGGUUUGUUUGAGGUUCUAACCAUGGUCUGUGAAUCCAGAUCUGGGACCGUGCAUGGUAGGCAGUUUGACUGGGGCGGUCUCCUCCCAAAAGGUAACGGAGGAGUACGAAGGUACGCUAGGUACGGUCGGACAUCGUGCUAAUAGUGCAAUGGCAUAAGCGUGCUUGACUGCGAGACCCACAAGUCGAGCAGGUGCGAAAGCAGGUCAUAGUGAUCCGGUGGUUCUGUAUGGAAGGGCCAUCGCUCAACGGAUAAAAGGUACUCUGGGGAUAACAGGCUGAUACCGCCCAAGAGUUCAUAUCGACGGCGGUGUUUGGCACCUCGAUGUCGGCUCAUCUCAUCCUGGGGCUGUAGCCGGUCCCAAGGGUAUGGCUGUUCGCCAUUUAAAGAGGUACGUGAGCUGGGUUUAAAACGUCGUGAGACAGUUUGGUCCCUAUCUGCCGUG